CGAACCGCAGGUCAGUUUUGCACAGGUGAGCUUUUUCUUCAUCGUUUACUCAUCUUUGCAUUGUAACCUGAGCUCAUCCCUUGAUUCGUGGCAAAUCAGGGCAGGCAUGUCUUCAUGGUGCUUGCGGAGGAGCAGGGCUGCUGAGGAAAAGUGGUGGUUGGGGAGGAGGACGCCCUUGUCCUUGCCCUUGUCCUUGUCCUGUGUUGCUCUGUGCAUGGUCGUUGAAGGCGAGGACAACCUGUGACUCCUCGUGACAAGGAAAUUUCCUCCAUCCCCUCUCUUCCUCUCAUGCACUGUUGCCGCUCCUCAACUAUGUUUUUCUCUCCUGAUUUUUGGAAGUACCUGAUUGGCUGGGUGCUUUGAAUAUGUAUCAUUUUCUGUGAUUAGUAUUAGCAGCUUCAUUAGGGGCAGUCUAUUUUAACUCCACUUUCUAAACUGAACUGAAUAAAUCCAUUUGAGUUUGUCUAUUUCUGAAUUUAUUGUAAUGGCAUGCCUUCAGUUUGUGUUGCACAUUAGGAAGAAGAGACCUGGGCAGCGUGCUUUACAUGGGUGGCGUCACCAUGACCAGAUUAAUGAUUCAAGCCCAAG
rnacentral:lncRNA from 1 species